rnacentral:rRNA from 1 species
GACGAACGCUGGCGGCGUGCUUAACACAUGCAAGUCGAACGGUGACCCAGGGCUUGCCCUGGUGAUCAGUGGCGAACGGGUGAGUAACACGUGGGCAACCUGCCCCUGACUUCGGGAUAACUCCUCGAAAGAGGAGCUAAUACCGGAUACGACCACUUCGGACAUCCGAUGGUGGUGGAAAGUUUUUCGGUCAGGGAUGGGCCCGCGGCCUAUCAGCUAGUUGGUGGGGUAAUGGCCUACCAAGGCGACGACGGGUAGCCGGCCUGAGAGGGCGACCGGGCCACACUGGGACUGAGACACGGCCCAGACUCCUACGGGAGGCAGCAGUGGGGAAUAUUGCGCAAUGGGCGAAAGCCUGACGCAGCGACGCCGCGUGAGGGAUGAAGGGCCUUCGGGUUGUAACCGUACUUUCAGCAGGGACGAAGCGAAAGUGACGGUACCUGCAGAAGAAGCACCGGCUAACUACGUAGCCAGCAGCCGCGGUAA